rnacentral:tRNA from 1 species
UCCUGGUGGCUCAGACAGUAAAGUGUCUGCCUGCAAUGCGGGAGACCUGGGUUCGAUUCCUGGGUCAGGAA